CUUUAACGGCUUUAAUUUCAAAUACACCAUACACAGUACAUCAAAAAACUUCCUGGUCUCUCCAUCUUCCACUGUGAAAAAUUAAAAAAAAAUGAAGCAUUAAUAAGUAGCAUCUAAAAAUUCUUUGUCUAUUCAUCUGCCACGGUGAAGAAUCCCCAAAAAAAUGAAGUACACAUAAGCAGCAUAAAAAAAUUCUCUGUCUGUUCAUGUGCCACUAUGAAGAAUUCCCAAAAGAAGGAAACAAAAAUAAGCAGCUCCAUCAUAUUGGCCAUUAUCUUGCAGAUCUAUCACGCACUCGCAUUCAACAUUAGUUUGCUUAUGUGUUUUCUGCAAUUAUUCCUUGAAUAUGAUCACUAAACACGUCUUCUAUUCUUCUCCAAAAGCUGAUUUGACAAUCUUUUUCCUGCCAGGACUCUAUUACAUUAUCGUGAUUUAUGGGAGAAAGGUGUUUCUAGCUAACCUAAAGCUUGUUUGGCCAGAGAUGUGGUUACCAAUCUAAAUAAAUUUGGUGAUAUGCAGAUAGCAAGUGUUUCAAAUUACACCUUAUGUUGACAGUUUGGAUCAAGCCUAAUGAACUCAACCCUUGAAAAGUGCUCCUAAG